rfam:Oryza sativa Japonica Group DNA, chromosome 12, cultivar: Nipponbare, complete sequence.
AAAAAGGUCAAACUCUAGGUUUGUUGUCCAACCUUGACGGUCCGUCUUAUAUAAAAUUUUUUUAUAAUUCAUAUUUUCAUUGUUGUUAGAUGAUAAAAUAUGAUUAAUAUUUUAUGCGUGACUUGUCUUUUUAUUUUUUUUAUAAUUUUUUUCAAAUAAGACGGAUGGUCAAAACGUUGGACAUGGAAAUCAGGGUUUGUCUUUUU